UAGUCCAUGCCCUAAACGAUGUUAACUCGAUGUUUGCGUAAGUGAGCAUCCAAGGGAAACCGUUAAGUUAACCACCUGGGGAGUACGUUCGCAAGAAUGAAACUCAAAGGAAUUGACGGGGGCCCGCACAAGCGGUGGAGCAUGUGGUUUAAUUCGAUGCAACGCGAAGAACCUUACCAGCCCUUGACAUUUACGGAACUUGGCAGAGAUGCUUUGGUGCCUUCGGGAACCGUAGGACAGGUGCUGCACGGCUGUCGUCAGUUCGUGCCGUGAGGUGUUGGGUUAAGUCCCGCAACGAGCGCAACCCCUAUCCUUAGUUGCCAGCAAGUAAUGUUGGGGACUCUAGGGAAACUGCCUACGCAAGUAGGAGGAAGGUGGGGAUGACGUCAAAUCAUCAUGGCCUUUAUGUCCAGGGCUACACACGUGCUACAAUGGUAGGGACAAAGGGUUGCGACACUGUGAGGUGAAGCCAAUCCCAAAACCCUAUCUCAGUUCGGAUUGGAGUCUGCAACUCGACUCCA
rnacentral:rRNA from 1 species